rnacentral:rRNA from 1 species
UUGGCGAACGCGGAGGGAUCAUUAUCGAGUUACCACUCUAUAACCCUUUGUGAACAUACCUACAUGUUGCUUCGGCGGUCGGCCCCCCGGGCCCCCGGCCCCGCUCACGCGGGGCGUCCGCCGGAGGAUAACCAAACUCUGAUUUAACGACGUUUCUUCUGAGUGGCACAAGCAAAUAAUCAAAACUUUUAACAACGGAUCUCUUGGUUCUGGCAUCGAUGAAGAACGCAGCGAAAUGCGAUAAGUAAUGUGAAUUGCAGAAUUCAGUGAAUCAUCGAAUCUUUGAACGCACAUUGCGCCCGCCAGCAUUCUGGCGGGCAUGCCUGUUCGAGCGUCAUUUCAACCCUCAAGCACUGCUUGGUGUUGGGGCUCUACGGUUGACGUAGGCCCCCAAAACUAGUGGCGGACCCUCUCGGAGCCUCCUUUGCGUAGUAACUUUUGUCUCGCACUGGGAUUCGGAGGGAUUCUAGCCGUUAAACCCCCAAUUUUCUAAAGGUUGACCUCGGAUCAGGUAGGGAAUACCCGCUGAACUUAAGCAUAUCAUAAAAACACGGAGAGAAA